AUUGUGCACUAGCAAAAACAAUACUGGAGGAUGUUUUCUGCUGCCUCUUUCCAGAACUGUAUCAGGAGCAUUUGAAAUUGAUAAAUCCUCUUAUGCAUCUCUGUGGGCUUUUUGUUUGUCUUAACAUUAUUAAUCGGUCUUGUCAGUGAUUCGAAUUUCUGCCCAUUGAUUUCUUUAAUUUGUAUAUGGCUAACACUGCCUCCUUUAUUUACCUUUUAUAUUGAUUUUGUGUUUUAAUCUGUUUCUUGGACUGGAGGAUGUCUUAUUCUCCAAUAAUCUUGUGUGCAUUACUUAUUCCUAAUAACAUCUUCUUUUUCAUAAAAAUAAAAAAUAAAAAAACCCCAUCUCUUCUCUAUGAAGAAUUCUUUUCCUCUCUGUAAUGGUUUGGUCUUCUGGAUCCUUAUGAGAAAGGUUUUAUGGAAAAUCUGGCAAAUGGUAGUGCCUGAAGUAAUGAACUUCUUCUGUUAUCUGAUGCUUUUCAAUGUUUCAUUUUCUUACAGGGGUUCUUUUCUUUCUCUGGGAUUUAGUUCUGUCGAAGUUGCCUUUCCUGGCGCUGAAACAAAGAGGAUAUCAAAUAUGAAACUGUAAGUACGGGUCUAAAAGUCUUACUACCAUGGAUGGUCAAGAAGGGAAUGAACCUUACAAAGGAUCAACGUGGAGAGGUCCACCAGGAGGCUAAGAUUGAUAGCAGUUCAGCAGCUGUAAAAUUCUCAGAUGAAAAGAAGUCUGCUCAAGAGAACGAUGACCAGCAUAGAGUUCUCUGGAAUGAUGUGAUGUGCUUGUGUAUUUAGAUUUUUCAUACAUGGUUUUUACUUCUAUGGUUUCAUGUACCUGCUUUUAAUUUAACACAGUUUUUUCUUUCCAAAUUAUAUGACAGGAGUAGUAUGCUAAAUCUUAUUAUGCUGCUCUGCUUCAAAAACAAAGACAAGCAGAAGAAUCUGCUAAGAAACAACAGAGUUGUCUCAGACAUCCAUCUCCAAUGGCCUUUCGAAUUAUCUUCCAGCUGUCAAGUGGGAAGAUGCUCCAAUGGAAGACAAUCGAAGUUGCUGGAGGAUAAGGGUUUUGCAUAAUUGCUUCCGAAGUUGGUGCAGUUGCGGCUGACGAUGGCAAAACACAGGAACUAAUAGUAAUAGCAACGCAAUUGCUUGAAAUGGCUUCUUCCUCAAACUGGAGAAGUUUUUACAGAAAAUUUAUUUAAGCACUGUAUUUCAAUUAUAUCAGCAACUACAGGUCACUAGUAAGAGCUUCAGCCAUGCACGUAUAUAAAAGUGGAAGUGGACAAUCUGAUGCGUUCUACUUGAAGAGUAAUUUUGUAAGCCAAGAUCGAAUGCUGCAGGUUAGAUUUUUUUGGCUAAAAUAAUUCACACAGUAGUCCAAAGUAAAUUUUAUGUGAUAACAAAAUUAACUACAGUUUCUUACAUACCAUUUUAAUAAUUAGUUGUCUUUCCCUCGUUUUAUCAACAAAUAUGCGCUCCCUUUUGGAGGGCGAGUCCAUUUGUAUCACACUUAAUUGAUUGCAAAAUGUUGUGGAUUUGUAAUGAUUAGUCUGUUUGGAAGGCGAAAAGGACCAAACAUACAUGUCAGGGAUUUCUCGUAAUUCUGCGGUGCAGAAGACAACAACACUUCAAGCAUUCAAUUUCUUAGCUGUCAUUCUCUGUAUUGUAUAAUAUUUAAUUAGGAACAUCAUUGUAUAUUUAUAUAUUUUGUGGA